rnacentral:rRNA from 1 species
UAGGGUGCAAGCGUUGUCCGGAAUUAUUGGGCGUAAAGAGCUCGUAGGCGGUCUGUUGCGUCGGCUGUGAAAACCCGGGGCUCAACCCCGGGCCUGCAGCCGAUACGGGCAGACUAGAGUUCGGCAGGGGAGACUGGAAUUCCUGGUGUAGCGGUGAAAUGCGCAGAUAUCAGGAGGAACACCGGUGGCGAAGGCGGGUCUCUGGGCCGAUACUGACGCUGAGGAGCGAAAGCGUGGGGAGCGAACAGG